AGCCACCCAAAGAGUCUUCUCUGAAUGUCACUUCAAACGAGUCUCCAACAGCCACUGCAGGUCCCAGCCUGACACGGCGCUUCAGCAGCCCUGCAGACCCCUCCUCGAUGGUCUGGGGUCCAGCCCGGCCCUCCGUCAUCUCUCCUUUGUCCACCCCCCGAGGCAGCAGGUGUCAGUCCCCUCUGGAUACUCACAGUGUCCAGUAUAGACCGGCCCAAACUCCCACAGGCCCCUCUCCCUGGGGGUCCAGAUGUCAGUCCCCAUCAAACACACAGGGUCCCACCAGCCCCCCCUUCAGACCUUCUCAAGCACCCACAUCUCCUCCUCCUCCCCCCUGGGGUUCAAGGUGCCAGUCUCCUAUGAUAACCCAAGCACAAACAUCCACGAGCCGCUCUGCUUUCACAUCACGACCUGCGCAAACAACCACCUCACCGGUGUCACCUUCAUGGGCAAACAGGUGCAAGUCCCCAGUGGGCAGCCACAAUCCUUCUGCUGCCCUUUCAGUUUCCAAACCAGCCCACAGUUCUCCUAUGUCUCCUCCGUGGGGCUCGAGGAGCCAGUCCCCUAUGAUAAACCACACAAUGUCCACAUCCAGGCUGUCCAACCCUGCAGCCCCCUCCCCCUUUUCUCCCUGGAGCUCCCGCUGUCAGUCUCCGGCCCUCUCUCAGAGCAGCCUGUCCUUCUCCAGACCUCUGCACAGAUCUGCUGCCUCCUCUCCGGUGCCCACGCCUAAGGACAGCCGCUGCAUGUCCCCCACUGCCAGCACUGUGGACUCAAAGACCAACCACCGCCUCUUGGCCAAGAACAUCAUCAAUGCAGCCAAGAGGAAGAACAGUGUUUCUCCUGGAACCCUCAGUGGGCACAGCCUGCCCAUCUCACCUGUGGGCACCUCCCAUCAUGACUCUCACAAACCUCCUAUUAGCCCCUUCCACAGCCGCUCUCUGGGAGCGCAGUCGCCCACCUUCACCAGCCCCCCUCCCACCCCCACACAGGUGUGCUCCCCUGUGCGCCUGUACAACACACGCUCGCUCACAGACUCUGACGCCUCAGUAGAGUCUGAGGACUCUGGCCUGCGCUCACCUGGUCUUUACUACAACUCCCUACCCCGUGGCUGGGGCGGCAGUCUGAGGGUGAAGAGGUCUACUGUAUCCACCGACCUGUGAGGCACCUCUGCAUAAACUGUACUCUGCUUUCAUCCAAGCGCUAAUGACAAGAACAAGCUGAUUAUGUAAUGAUGCUGUAGCUUGUAUGCUUAAACCAAAGACAUUUUAACUGUUGUAAUUUCACCACAAAGCUGCUUUAACAGACCCCACUGCGCAUGUACAUUUUGUCAAAUGUUUUAACAUGACCAAUGACAUAUUAACUGAUUGAAAACUUCAAGUAGACUAUGUUGGGAUACAAUGAUGCUAAGGACACUGUAUGUACUCAUAGGACUGUUAUCAACAAUAUUCAUUGAUAUAACAAGAUCAACACAUUUCAGUUAUCAAAGCGUUGGUGUAGUGAUCUAUGCAAUAAUCAUCACAUACAGUGUGUGCUUUAAGUCAUUUACUCAGUGAAUGUAAGUUUGAUGGGCUGUUGAGUGACUGAAUAACACAAAGGACAUGGUGAGAGAAAUGUAUGUUUUGGCCUGACCAGUCAGUGAUAGCACAUUGUUAAUCUUCACUUCAAAGUAUUUUACAGGAACAAGUAAUACUUUAAAAAAGGCGUAUUGAUUGUAAUGUUGACAUUGGACAAUGAAGUUUUGCUGUUUGUGUUUUGUUGUACUGAUAAGUUUGUCAUCCGGAAAAGUGUGUGCUAGAUUUAAGUAUGUUUAUGUUUAGAGGAACAGAAGGUACUAAUGUGAGAGGCUGCAGUGAAUGUUGACAGAUGUGAAUAUUAUGUUGUUUUGCAGAAAGACUCAAAAGAGUGAAAUGUACUGUAUUCAAAAUGCAGACUUCACUGUCCUGUCUUUACAGUUUGCACAUUUGUUUGUGCCAUAACCUGGCUUUAAAAAAGGAAAUAAAUAUCUGCGACACCUUUUUGUGUAUAUGUUCGGAUGUGCUUUGAACAGUAUAGAUUUGUGUUACGUGACCAGUGCAGACACACAUAUUUGGCUGUGGUGAGUGACAGGAACGCCUGCUGCAGUCCUGCUCCUUCAGGAUAAACCUAUCGCUCUCAUGGAUUGGUUACGUCCCGUGUUUCCUCCGCACAAAAUGCUGAGGAAGAGCUCUGCCUGUGUCUCAUGUGCAUUCAAAACAACACAUUUCUGUAUGCUUUGUCAAUAAUAAAAACAGAUAUUAUCAAUACUUGACUUUUUCUGUGCUGUUGGUAUAUGUCUGCUCACACAUGCCACGCCAGAAAAGAAAUGUUACUGCCUACUGUUAUUUCUCCUGCUAAAAAUAGUCUGAAAGAACAUCUACUUCACUCCAAUAUCAUAUCGCC
ensembl:lncRNA